GUGGGGAAUAUUGCACAAUGGGCGCAAGCCUGAUGCAGCAACGCCGCGUGAGGGAUGACGGCCUUCGGGUUGUAAACCUCUUUUAGUAGGGAAGAAGCGAAAGUGACGGUACCUGCAGAAAAAGCACCGGCUAACUACGUGCCAGCAGCCGCGGUAAUACGUAGGGUGCAAGCGUUGUCCGGAAUUAUUGGGCGUAAAGAGCUCGUAGGCGGCUUGUCGCGUCUGCUGUGAAAUCCCGGGGCUCAACCCCGGGCCUGCAGUGGGUACGGGCAGGCUAGAGUGCGGUAGGGGAGAUUGGAAUUCCUGGUGUAGCGGUGGAAUGCGCAGAUAUCAGGAGGAACACCGAUGGCGAAGGCAGAUCUCUGGGCCGCUACUGACGCUGAGGAGCGAAAGCAUGGGGAGCGAACAGGAUUAGAAACCCGGGUAGUCC
rnacentral:rRNA from 1 species